CUGGAAUUACAGCUUUGUUCGUUUUUCUUUUUGUCACUCGACACAUGUGCCGUGCGACACUACCAGCCCAGCUGGUCCUGCAAGACUCAAACUGACUAGCGGCACUGGCAUGCUAACACGCGUUUGCUGAGUGUUUGGUCGCUAUGGCAACAAGUUCAGAUGGAUAAGGUGAAGGAAAACGCAUGAAGGGAUUUCGUCAGCAGUUUCACCUUUUCGCAAGCAAACGGAAGCCUCGCGUGCAGCACAGCCACCAGCAAACUCCCCGCAAAGGCAUUCAAAAAUCCGCGCACGAGCCCCUUUACUUCUGUUCUGUUUUAACAGCGGCACCUGUGCGCAAAAUGGCGGCGCGCACACAUCCGCCCGGCGCGCGCUCCGUUACCGUGGAAACCAAGCACUGAAAAGAACCCAGCUCUGCCUCUUCGCUGUCCCGCUUCCAGACUGCUGAAACUUCAGCGUGCAGGAGCGUGUUGGAGAAAGGAGGCGUGGCCUGUUAGCCCACGUGCCAUAUCUUGGAAUAUGAUUGGUCAACCCGGCGCACGCCUACAGAAUAACCCCGCCUCUUUACAGGGUCAAGGAAAAGCCUGGAGCCUAUCCCAGGGAACAAGGCGGGGGACACCCUGGACGGCGUGCCAACCCAUCACAGGGCACAAUCGUACACACAUUGACACACGACGGACAAUUUAGAGACGUCGAUCAGAUCAGCGUCUUUGGAUCAGGGAGAAAACCGGGGUUACCCGGAGGAAACCCACGGAGCAUGGGGAGAACACGCAAACUCUGCACACACUGCGGAGGCGGGAUCUCAGAGAGGGAUAUGCCAGACAGAAUAAUAUAUACUAGGGUGAAAAAUAAGGAUGGUUUAAGCCCAUUCAUGGGAAAGUGUCCCACUUUAGGCCCCUGCAGUCCUUUUCCUCUCCCAGCUGUGAUGUCAUUGUUUGAGAUGGAGCGCUGUGGAAUGCAGAAGUGAAAAGUAGGUAAAGAAAAGUUAGCUUAUUUAUUUGUGUAGUGCUGACAGGGGGAAUCUGGAGCCUGUGUGUGUACUGACGAGAGAGUGUUAAGGCUUGGGUGAGGAAGCGAAUGAUGAAAGACCGAGAGAGAGAGAGAGAGAGAGAGAGAGAGAGAGAGAGAGAGAGAGAGAGAGGUGUUAAUAUGGCCUCCUGAAACACAUUUUGUGCCUAAAUGGAAAGCAGAUGGACUUCCAGGAAGGAAAAAAGUAAAAGACAAAGGGGGAGGGAGAGGAAUAAAAGGGUUUGAUCCCACAAAAAUCUAUUUUUUUCUUCUUCUUCAUUAAUUUUUAUUAGUCUUAUCACUCGUAUUCCAUCUCACACGG
ensembl:lncRNA